rnacentral:rRNA from 1 species
CACCUCUUGAUAUCAUAUAAGAGGCCCAGCCUGCCCAGUGACUUUAUUCAACGGCCGCGGUAUCCUAACCGUGCAAAGGUAGCGUAAUCACUUGUCUUCUAAAUAAAGACUAGUAUGAAAGGCACCACGAGGAUUAAACUGUCUCCCCCCUCUAAUCAGUGAACCUAAUCUCCCCGUGAAGAAGCGGGGAUAACUCUAUAAGACGAGAAGACCCUAUGGAGCUUAAAACAGUACCCACGUGCCACCUAAACCUCCCACACUACGGUUACGGUACCAUCACUGCACCCGCACGCUGACUACAUGUUUUUGGUUGGGGUGACCGCGGAGAACAAACUAUCCUCCACGAUGAAUGGGAAACCCCCUAAAAAACAAGCCACAACUUUACUUAUCAACAAAUUGACAUUCAUUGACCCAAAUAUUUUGACCAACGAACCAAGUUACCCUAGGGAUAACAGCGCAAUCCACUUCAAGAGUCCUUAUCGACAAGUGGGCUUACGACCUCGAUGUUGGAUCAGGGUAUCCUAGUGGUGUAGCCGCUACUAAAGGUUCGUUUGUUCAACGAUU